rnacentral:rRNA from 1 species
AGAACGAACGCUGGCGGCAUGCCUAACACAUGCAAGUCGAACGCUCACCGGGCUUCGGUUCGGUGGGAGUGGCGCACGGGUGAGUAGCGCGUGGGAACCUGCCCUGUUGUGGGGGAUAACCGAGGGAAACUUCGGCUAAUACCGCAUGCGCCCGGGGAAACCCGGGGAAAGAUUUAUCGCAGCAGGAGGGGCCCGCGUCGGAUUAGGUAGUUGGUAGGGUAACGGCCUACCAAGCCUUUGAUCCGUAGCUGGUCUGAGAGGAUGAUCAGCCACACUGGGACUGAGACACGGCCCAGACUCCUACGGGAGGCAGCAGUGGGGAAUAUUGGACAAUGGGCGCAAGCCUGAUCCAGCAAUGCCGCGUGAGUGAUGAAGGCCUUAGGGUUGUAAAGCUCUUUCGCCCGCGACGAUGAUGACGGUAGCGGGAGAAGAAGCCCCGGCUAACUUCGUGCCAGCAGCCGC